AAUAAUCGAUCACGUGGACUGAAACUGCUUUCCAUUUUGCCAAAAUGUCGUCCGUUGUUAGCUGUACCAUAGACUACGGCUGUACUUGUUCGGAUGUAGUCUCAUCUCACGCAGAAACUCUACAGAGUUGGUGUUCAGGUUGGAGAUCCUGUUGCAGAACGUGAGAACUCAACAAAGUCUGAGCUUCAUGGCUGCCAUCAUGGCCACAGUGGUUUUGUUGCAGCCAGAUGGUGAAAGGCGUGAUCUUGUCAAGUUGAGCUGCUGCUGCUGCUGCAUGCAGUUUAUUGAGCUGGUGUUAUCCUGAAGUGUCAUUGCAGGAUUGCAGGAAGACUUUUUGAAAUGGUAAGUUGAUUGAAUUUAUUGGUUGUAACUUGGGAAGUCUUGCGUCUUUUUUUUUUUAAAUUCAACUGACAAGUAAACUCUGAUCUGAUGUAGACAAUAAGUGGUGCUAUUUCUUGCUUCCAAACAAUAGCUUCCGUGAAAGAUAUCAGAUAGCAAUCAGCUUCCUUUGAGUUAACAACUUUCUUUUGAUCAAACUAGAACAAAAAUUUCCUCUCUGUAUUGCAAACUUUUUCUAACCCUUAAGAAUCAGAUGUACAGAAUUCUCUUUUCCUGGGAUUUAAUCUCCAUUUAAAAUUUCAUUGCCAAAUGCCAAUGGAAUCUUGGAAAAAUGUCUGAUGUCAUUUGUUUUACACAAUUUCUUUUGCAUCUUAUGUUUGAUCAUGGAAAAUAAUAUUCCUUUUUCCCCAUAGGACUUGAUGAUACUUAAACUAUGCCUGUGCAGUGGUUUUUCCGCCUGUUUCCAGUUGAGAGAUGUGAUUAUAGCUGAUACAGGAUUGAAGAAAAAGAACUGAAGUAGCUGUGCUCACUGGUGUUCACCUGAAAUUGCUGUGCCACAGGAAUUGCAGAUAGCAGAGUUGCAGAUAGUGUUUGGUUCCUUGUAGAAGUUUGUUUAAAGAGUCUGGAGAUGAUCAGCCACUUCUGAUUAUAACUUAUGUAAAACUUCAAAGUUGUAAGAAACAUACAAGUCAAGUGCUAAA